rnacentral:lncRNA from 1 species
GGCCUAUUCCAGGGCUUCUAGAGAAAAAUAAUGAGGGGUGUCACGGGGAAUGACUAUAUAGGUCUUGUAGAGGAGAAACAGGCGCUUCUUUUGCGCUAGGUAUCGAAGGGCGCUAUGUUCAAAAAUCUGAAAACUAGAGCUCAAAAUUUGAAAAAAAAUGUCAAAAAAUUAGGGGGGUCGGCCUAUUCUAGGACUUCUAGAGAAAAAUAAUGAGGGGUGUCACGGGGUAUGACUAUAUAGGUCUUGUAGAGGAGAAACAGGCGCUUCUUUUGCACUAGGUAUCGAAGGGCGCUAUGUUCAAAAAUCUGAAACUAGAGCUCAAAGUUCGAAAAAAAAUGUCAAAAAAUGGGGGUAGGGUCGGCCUAUUCCAGGAGUUCUAGAGAAAAAUAAUGAGGGGUGUCACGGGGUAUGACUAUAUAGGUCUUGUAGAAGAGAAACAGGCGUUUCUUUUGCGCUAGGUAUCGAAGGGCGCUAUGUUCAAAAAUCUGAAACUAGAGCUC